rnacentral:rRNA from 1 species
UACGGGGGGAGCAAGGCGUUGUUCGGAUUUACUGGGCGUAAAGGGCGCGUAGGCGGCCAGCACAAGUCAGUUGUGAAAUCUCCGAGCUUAACUCGGAAAGGUCAACUGAUACUGUGCGGCUAGAGUGCGGAAGGGGCAACUGGAAUUCUUGGUGUAGCGGUGAAAUGCGUAGAUAUCAAGAGGAACACCUGCGGCGAAGGCGGGUUGCUGGGCCGACACUGACGCUGAUGCGCGAAAGCUAGGGGGAGCGAACCGG